AUGGGCGCCCCGGGUCCAGGGCCCGCGGAGCCGCUCUCGGGGCGGAGACCUUGCCCCCAGGGGCACGUCAGCGGUCCUGAGGUGAGGCUCCUGCAGAGCACUCUGGGCCGCGUGUGUCUCUCCCUGCGUGGGCAGGCAGUGUCGGUGGCCGGAGCGAGGGUGUUUUCCCAUCGGGGUGAGAGGGAGAGCCCCAGGGUGGGCCUGGGGGCGGAAUCGGACUCGGGGUUGGGGUGGACUCUUCUGAAGCUGGGAGGGGUGCGGGUGGGCAGGGCCUUAGGGAGCCUGAGGGAGGCGCGGUUCCUGGGGGAAGGGUGUGGCGAGGCGGCGGCAGCCCGCGUGCGCUGUGGCGCCCCAGCGAAGGGGCAGUGCUGGCCACUCGUGUGGCCCUUUGGCUGCUGGCACCCAGUGAGAGGGGGGAGGCCAGGGACAGGUGGCAGCCAGGCUGCCCACAGGCCCUGGGCGGUGGGGGGCCCGGCCCCUGUGCCUUGGGCAGCCUGGCCCCUUGCUGAGGCGUGCUUGCGCGUGUCCGUUGUCGCCCUCACCCAGCUGCUGCGGCGGAGAGACGGAGGCCAGCGCGGGGAGCGGAAGCCGGAGCCUGUCGGGAGCGACCCCGGGAAGGCCAGUCCCUCCUGCCGGAGGGAGGCGUGUUGGCGUGCGGCCGGUGGCGGGAUCGAUGGCCACCUGGUAGGCGAUGCUGCUGCGGCGGAGAAACGGAGGCCAGCGCGGGGAGCGGAAGCCGGAGCCUGUCGGGAGCAACCCCGGGAAGGCCAGUCCCUCCUGCCGGAGGGAGGCGUGUUGGCGUGCGGCCGGUGGCGGGAUCGAUGGCCACCUGGUAGGCGAUGCUGCUGCGGCGGAGAAACGGAGGCCAGCGCGGGGAGCGGAAGCCGGAGCCUGUCGGGAGCGACCCCGGGAAGGCCAGUCCCUCCUGCCGGAGGGUGGCGUGUUGGCGUGCGGCCGGUGGCGGGAUCGAUGGCCACCUGGUAGGCGUGCCAAGGUAGCCCCCGGGGCGCCGUGUGUGGCGCCCGGACCCGCACCCUCUGCUCCCGGGGGUGGAGCUGACCUGCUUGCCCGCGGUUGGGCCGGGAGGCUCCGGGACGCGUCCGGGAGGGAGCUGGCUGGCCGUCCCGGCGGUGGGGGCUGUGGCGGUGGCCGUCCCACGGGUGUGCCCGUGCUCGGAUCGAUGAUGACACCCACAAACGCAUUCCUUGGAAAAUCUGAACAAAAUGAGUGAGAACUCACUACCGUCUCCUCAUCGCAAACUGAGGUCCGGCACGUGGCUCCCACAGGGGACGUCGGGGGAGGGUCCCGUUGCCUUGGCUCCCUUGGGUGCGUGCAGCCCUGGGGCGCAGGUGGGGGCAGGCAGGCUCCGGUGGCCCGGGAGGGCCAUGGGGAGAGGAGCCUUGGGGCUGGCCUCCUCGGGGCAGCCCCGGGGCCCCGGGGCCCCGGUGCCCGGCGGGAAAGCCUUGGGAGUGGCAGGCCCAGUGUGGGGUGGGCUGCCUGCGGUGUGCGUGAGCUCCGCUGGGCUCUCAGGCCUGCGGCUGCCUCCGUGAGGCCUCUUUGGGGUCCUGCCCGCGGUGUCGGGCGCAGAGGCUGUCUGUAGGUUGCGGGUGAGCAGCGGGGGCCUUGGCCUCGGCGGGACUGCCGACCCAGGUUCUGGUGGGGAGAGAGGAGGCCGGCCGGGGGGCCUUGCCGAGAUGGCCGUUUGGGCGGGGUGGAUGCCUUUGCCUGCGUCUUCCCGGGUCGGCGGGGCUGCCAGUGCCUGUCCCUCGCAGAGUCCCUGGGGGGCAUCGGGAAGCCUGGAGCCCCUGCGGCAUUUCCCAGAGAGGUGGAGGCGGUGGGGCGCCAGGUGGCCCUGGGCGGUGCCGAGUCGGCCGCGGACUGGGGUCGAGAGAAGUGCGGGAGGGCCAGAGGUCCUGGGCCAGUGUGCGCACAGCACCGUGAGGGGGAGAGUUGGGUGCCCGGGGCGGCAGUGCCUUCAGGGCGGCCUGGGCUAUGAUGUGGGAUAUCCUCAGAGAUUUGGGCGGCGCGUGGAAGGCAGGACAGAGGGGUCCCGGGCACGUGAAUGGGCGCUGGGUGCCUGUGCCCUGGCCGGUCGUGGGUGCCCGCGGGCCAUAGAUGUGUGAGCCCGCGGCCAGCUCCCGGGGCCGCUAAGGUGUCCACACACGGGGCUGGGCGUUGAGGCCGUGCGGCGCCCCUGGCCUGGCUGAGGCCGUGUUCCCGGGGAGGGAGGACAGGGAGUUGCGCAGUGGGAGGCAGUGUGAGGUUGAUACCCAGCAGAGCUAGCCACGCCUGCGGACUGGAGCCCAGCCGAGCUGGUGCCGGGCGGGAGCUGGUGGCAAGGAGGGAGUCUGCUGUGGAGGAAAGGGGGCAGGCGGCGGCGGAAGGGGCGUGAGUUUCGGUGCGAGGGUCCCGCUGGGCCCAGGGCCUGGUGCGUCUCCCGUGGAGACGCUGGUGCUGGAGGUAGGGAGGCCUGGGUGUGCAUGGGUGUGCCACGCAAAGGAGAGGGUCCCAUGGGGCCCGGCGGGCCUUCCGGUGCUGGCGCCGGGGCUGUGGCGUGUGCCUUGCGUGGGGCCCGAGCGCCCAACUGGUGGCAGGUUCCGGGCGCCCGGCGGCAGGCGGUCUGGGCGGGUUACGUUGUGUCCGGUGGACAGGCAGCCGCCAUGGGGCGCGGUUUGGGCAGGCAGGCCUCCGGUGUCCCCAGAGUGCCCCGGGGAGACCUGCCUGGGGGACCCAGGCCCCUGCCCCAAGGGGCCUGGUGUGGCGGGCCUGGAGGGUGAAGGGCGCGCGACCCGAGCCCACAGCCUGGCGGCUGGGGUCGCCCUCGCCAUUGGCGGUCAGGGCGAGGUGCGGCCCUGCGGGUCUUGCCCAGGCUCCAGGGCCCUUGGGGUCCCGGAGGGUCCAGCAGAAGGGUCUGUGUUUUGCCCGGGGUCCUGAGAGCGUGCUGGGGAUAGCGGGGUGGAGUGCAGGUGUGCCCAUGGGCGCCCCGGGUCCAGGGCCCGCGGAGCCGCUCUCGGGGCGGAGACCUUGCCCCCAGGGCACGUCAGCGGUCCUGAGCUGAGGCUCCUGCAGAGCACUCUGGGCCGCGUGGUCUCUCCCUGCGUGGGCAGGCAGUGUC
rnacentral:lncRNA from 9 species